UUUUUCUCCUCUCUCCCUCUCUCGGCCGCACGACCCCUUCUCUCUCUUGCACGUCGUUCUUCUGCUAGCGCCGGAAAAUGCUAGUUUCCGGCCACCACCUCUCGUCACCGCCACCACCAAUCGGUCUGACAGCUAGUUUCGACGCAAGCCCAGGCCAAAUCAACGAGUUCUACCGAGCCUAGCCACCUUGCACAGCAACCACAGUCCCCGCGAUUUUGUCUCCUUCAAUUCCGGCGACUCCCUCAGCUCACCGCUGCCGCCAACGUGUUUGGAUCAAGCCAAGCCACAAAACCCAAAUGUUUCUCCUCCAAUCGACGCCGGAAAGCUGCCAUAUGCAUCACUGCCGGUGACUCCGAAUCUGCUUGUCCUCGUUCUCCAAUCUCCAGCCCAAAUUGAGCUGCACAACCACCAAAGUUGGAAUCAGAGCCUCCUCAUUCUUCAAAACCCUUUGGUCCCGACCUUUGCUUCGGCCAGAACCGUUGCACGCGCUGCCGCUGCCGUGUGGACCACCGUGGCUCCGCCACCGGAAUUCCAGGCCACCUUUAUUAGUUUUUGAUUAUGAGUUAUGAAGUUUUUGGAGAAAGGAAUGGGCAUUGGUUCAGUUUGAUGUAUAAUGAAGGAAGGAAGGAGUUCGAAUGGUUGUUGGUGGUGGAGGACUACACUUAUUUAGAAUUGGCCCUCUGUUUGAAGAUGAAGAAUUGGAAGUGACGAAUUGAUUACCAUUGUGGAAAUGUCUUACUAGAAGUGGUAAGUAGUUUGGCCAAAUAAUUAAGGUAUUGGUGAAUAUUGAAUGGAUCGGUUUCGACGAGUUUGGCAAGUAACUGAAUGUUGAAAUUGAUGUUAAGAGGAAAUUGUUGUGAGAAUGACACAUUUUAUUUGAGCAAGUUAAAUCGAUUGUUCGAUGAAGAUUAAUGAAACGAGUUGCCAAUUGGAAUAUUCUAAUACUACCAUAUCCGGGAAUUUCCGUAAGGACAUAAUCAUUUGGAAAUGGUGAUCAUGAAUUUUACAUUUAAGGUUUAAAGGCUAAGUAAAAAGGUCGAAUGGUUAACCUGAAUUAUAACUUGAAAAUAGUGUAAUUACCAUAUUCCAAAUGAGUUUACUUUGUUAAGUGGAUUAUUCGGAAAUGGUUACCCGUAAUUAUCAAUUUGGAGUAAAUUGGUGAAUUUAACACGUUUUGGUUACUUAAGGAAGUUGUCAUUAUUAUUAAGUUACUAAUUGGGCUUAAUUAUUUUGUUAAGGAAUUGAGCGUGACUACUUGAGAUAGAAUAAAAGCUCAAUAUCGAAAAUGACUUAACGGAGGAAUUUCCAAGCUCUUGACUUGGGAUGGAUAAGUUGACGGUUAUUGCAUUUGAAUCACUUUUGCAGGCGAAAUUAGAUGAGGUCGGGCGUACAUGGAGUCGAGGCAUAGCCAACAGCAUUGCUUCCGCGUACUCAUUCUAUUUCUGUUUUCUUUGUUACCUAGUGGAUUAGUAUUGCUCUGAUAACCUAUGGGAUUAAUAUUGUUUUUGGGUUGAGACUAUUAUUUGUGAAAUUGGAGUUGUGAUUUGGGGAGCAGAUGGCUCCAGGAGAUUAUGAUGGAUGAUUUAGAAGUGUAAAUGUUUUCCUACAGGUUUUGGGUAGCCUACUUUUAGGGAAAGUUCCGCCAAAUUUUUGGUAGAAUUUCUUCUAAAGUGGGCCCCGCAGGGCCACUUCGGAUUUCGGGGUGAAAUCCGGGGCGGGUCCUGUUAAUAAAACUCUUCUUGCAUGCAUGUUGUCAACGUCAAAUUCAAACUUGGAGUCAUUCAAAAUUUCAAAAGGGUAUUGAUUUAUCUAGAUCAUGGUCAGCCCACCUCUUGGAAAUAAUAUUCAAAUUCAAGGUGAGAAGUAUGGUGGCUUAGAACUCAUCCACGUUGCAAUGAUAAGGAGAUAAGAAGCUAUCUAGCUCAACUUCAAGAUAGACGGUUGCUCAAGAUUGGAGAUUUAAAAUUUGAACAAUUUAAAUUCAAAGUUGAAGAUAUGGCUUAUCCCAACUGAUCUUGAUUGCCUAUAUAUAAAGCGCCUUCACAUACAACGGAAAGGGGGCGGAGGCAACAAACAAGGCACACCAAAAGAGAUCGAGGAGAGAAAGACCGGAGGUAGAGAAAAAAAUAGGCGAAAGCUCUGCAGCAUUGAGGCACCCAAGAAAGAGGAGAGCAGAAAGGAGAGAGUUCACUCAAGACCGGAGUCCUACAACAUUCCAUCCUUAAAGCUUUCCAAGAGAAGCCACAUACGGAGAACCACGCUUCAGUAGAAGAAGAUCCAUAAGUCACAGGUAUAUAAUUAUGAUUAUCACAUGAAAUUACUGAACUUUUCCUUUCAUGGUGCAGACGUUGUCAAGUGCUAAGACAACCAAUCCAUGAAGCAUGGCCAAAAAUCUCUACUAAG